UUUUGUGACGGUACCUGGAGAAGAAGCACCGGCUAACUACGUGCCAGCAGCCGCGGUAAUACGGGAGGGGCAAGCGUUAUCUGAAAUAACUGGGCGUAAAGCGUUCGUAGAUGGUAUUGUAAGUUAAUUGUUAAAGCUUAAAACUCAAUAUUAAAAAAGCUUUUAAUACUGCUAUACUUGAGUUUUUUACAGAAAAGUAGAAUUUCACGUCGAGAAGCAACGAUCUUAAACACGUGAAGGAAUAUCACUAGCGAAGGCAACUUUUUAGUAAAAACUGACGUUGAGGGACGAAAAUGUAGGUAGCAAACAGGAUUAGAGACCCUGGUAGUCUACAUUGUAAAUUCUGAGUGCUGUAAUUUAAAAAAGAUUUUAGAUUUUUUAAGCUAACGCCAUAAGCACUCCGCCUGAGGAGUACGAUCGCAAGAUUGGAACUCAAAGGAAUUGACGGGAGCCUACAACGAGUGGUGGAGCAUGUGGUUUAAUGCGAUAAUCCGCGCAAAACCUUACCAACCCUUGACAUAUUGAAAAAAAAUUUAAGUUUUUUUUAAUAUUAAUUAACAAAUUAAUUAAUUUUCAUUACAGGUGUUGCACGACUGUCGUCAGCUCGUGUCGUAAGAUGUUUGGUUCAUUCCUUUUAACGAGCGAAACUCUUAUUUUUAAAAUUUACUUUCGAUCUUUAUAAUGUAUUUUUGUUAUAAAGAUUGUGCUUUAAAAAGACUGUGAAACCAAAAAUAUAAUUUCAAAGGAAGGUGAGAAUUAAGUCAAGUCACUGUGGCCCUUAUGGGUUGGGCUACACACGUGCUACAAUGAAAAUUACAAAAGGUUACGUUUUUUAGUUUAAAGUUAAUCUUCAAAAAUUUUCUCAGUUCGAAUUAUAAACUGAAACUCGUUUAUAUGAAGUUGGAAUCACUAGUAAUCGCAAAUCAGCAUGUUGCGGUGAAUAUGUAUCUUGGCCUUGUACACACCGCCCGUCACAU
rnacentral:rRNA from 1 species